rnacentral:rRNA from 1 species
AACGAACGCUGGCGGCAUGCCUAACACAUGCAAGUCGAACGAACCCUUCGGGGUGAGUGGCGCACGGGUGCGUAACACGUGGGAACCUGCCCUUAGGUUCGGAAUAACACAGAGAAAUUUGCGCUAAUACCGGAUAAUGUCUUCGGACCAAAGAUUUAUCGCCUUUGGAUGGGCCCGCGUAGGAUUAGCUAGUUGGUGAGGUAAAGGCUCACCAAGGCGACGAUCCUUAGCUGGUCUUAGAGGAUGAUCAGCCACACUGGGACUGAGACACGGCCCAGACUCCUACGGGAGGCAGCAGUGGGGAAUAUUGGACAAUGGGCGAAAGCCUGAUCCAGCAAUGCCGCGUGAGUGAUGAAGGCCUUAGGGUUGUAAAGCUCUUUUACCUGGGAUGAUAAUGACAGUACCAGGAGAAUAAGCCCCGGCUAACUCCGUGCCAGCAGCCGCAGUAAAAC